rnacentral:rRNA from 1 species
UACGGGGGGUGCGAGCGUUGUCCGGAAUCACUGGGCGUAAAGGGCGCGUAGGUGGUUUGAUAAGGGUGUGGUGAAAGUCCGGGGCUCAACCCCGGAUCUGCCGUGCCGACUGUCAAACUCGAGGGCUGUAGAGGCAGGCGGAAUUCCGGGUGUAGCGGUGGAAUGCGUAGAGAUGUGGAGGAAUACCGAUGGCGAAGGCAGCCUCCUGGGAUAACACUGACGCUCAGGCCCGAAAGCGUGGGGAGCAAACAGG